rnacentral:rRNA from 1 species
UACGAAGGGUGCAAGCGUUACUCGGAAUUACUGGGCGUAAAGCGUGCGUAGGUGGUGAGUUAAGUCUGAUGUGAAGUCCCCGGGCUCAACCUGGGAAUGGCAUUGGAUACUGGCUCGCUAGAGUGCGGUAGAGGGUGGUGGAAUUCCCGGUGUAGCAGUGAAAUGCGUAGAGAUCGGGAGGAACAUCUGUGGCGAAGGCGGCCACCUGGACCAACACUGACACUGAGGCACGAAAGCGUGGGGAGCAAACAGG